GUGUUAGAUGAUGAUUUUUAUCUGUAUGCCUGAUGUCCUUUUGGAUUAUGAAGGCAUCUUUAGUCACUACCUCUUCUGAGACAC
rnacentral:snoRNA from 12 species